AGAUGGGUGAAAUAUGAUGAGUAUACAAAAUCUUGAUUUAAAAAAACUGAAAGCUUGUAAGAUCCAACUCUGAUUUCAUCCAGCAA
rnacentral:snoRNA from 1 species